UGGGGAAUCUUGCGCAAUGGCCGAAAGGCUGACGCAGCGACGCCGCGUGGGGGAUGAAGCAUUUCGGUGUGUAAACCCCUGUUGCCCGGGACGAAUCCUGGUUUUCGAGCCAGUUGACGGUACCGGGUGAGGAAGCACCGGCUAACUCCGUGCCAGCAGCCGCGGUAAUACGGAGGGUGCGAGCGUUGUCCGGAAUCACUGGGCGUAAAGGGCGCGUAGGCGGCUUGGGAAGUCCGUGGUGAAAGCCCGAGGCUCAACUUCGGGUCGGCCAGGGAUACUCUUAGGCUCGAGCACUGUAGAGGCAGGUGGAAUUCCGGGUGUAGCGGUGGAAUGCGUAGAGAUCCGGAAGAACACCGGUGGCGAAGGCGGCCUGCUGGGCAGUAGCUGACGCUGAGGCGCGACAGCGUGGGGAGCAAACAG
rnacentral:rRNA from 1 species